rnacentral:rRNA from 1 species
AACGAACGCUGGCGGCAGGCUUAACACAUGCAAGUCGAACGCCCCGCAAGGGGAGUGGCAGACGGGUGAGUAACGCGUGGGAAUCUACCCAGAUCUUCGGAACAACUGAGGGAAACUUCAGCUAAUACCGGAUACGCCCUACGGGGGAAAGAUUUAUCGGUUCUGGAUGAGCCCGCGUUGGAUUAGCUAGUUGGUGAGGUAACGGCUCACCAAGGCGACGAUCCAUAGCUGGUCUGAGAGGAUGAUCAGCCACACUGGGACUGAGACACGGCCCAGACUCCUACGAGAGGCAGCAGUGGGGAAUAUUGGACAAUGGGCGAAAGCCUGAUCCAGCCAUGCCGCGUGAGUGAUGAAGGCCUUAGGGUUGUAAAGCUCUUUCAGUGGGGAAGAUAAUGACGGUACCCACAGAAGAAGCCCCGGCUAACUUCGUGCCAGCAGCCGCAGUAAGAC